rnacentral:piRNA from 1 species
UUACUUACCCAGUACUCCCUGCA